AACACUUAAGUGUUAAUAUUUUGCAAAUUUGUAAAAUAUUAACACUUAAUUGAAAUGUAAAACUUAUCUUUGUAAAACCUAGCUAAACAAAGAUGAGUUUUACAUUUCCGUUUCCGAAGACGUCAAAACAUAACUAUUUAUGUCAGUUGUAACGUAAUUAUGCACUCAUAGAAUGCUCGUGUUAAAACUUAAAGACACAUAGUCGUAAAGACAAAGACAACAAUAACAUUAAUUUUGCUCUUAUAAUUUAUUGCUAUUUUAUUGUAUUGAAAUGCGACAAAGUAAAGUGUUUAGAAAUUUAACUGGUGCAUAAAGAUUUUCUAUUGAUAAUGUCAUGAAAAAUUUGGCCAUACAACCAUGUUUAGCAAACUGUCUGCUUCUGCAAACGGAUCGCGUACAUUUGAGCAUUGUUUUGAAAUUUUUCAAUGGAAAUUAUAGUAUAAAUGGAAAGUAUAGAAAAAAAAACUACAGACAGAGUUGCAAUACCAUGUGAUACAAUUAAAGCAGCUGCUGAUGAAGUUUUAGAGAGACCAGUGAAUGUUGAUUUUUUCCAAGUUCAGGCAUAACCGUUCGCAAAGGUUUUUCACUUAUAUCUUCACAAUCCUUGAGGUGAGCAUCCAACAGAUCAGCUCUAGAGAAUACAUGCAAACAUCGGCGGCAUGGAUGUUUCAACUCACGAUGUUUAUUUGAAUGAUGAAGCCCCGCAUAGUUAACGAUCAAUGUGCCCCAAUAGGUACAGUUGAUAUAUUGAUGCCAAUAACUUCUGUAAAUAUUGCAACCAACUCAAAAAAAACAAAUUUAUUAUACACUUAACACAAAAAAGACGUCUUUUAAACUUCAUAUACACGUUUUGGACGUCUUUUGAACGUUCAAAACACGUCUUUUUUUGGUCCGAUGCCCGCUGGGAGACUGGAAUCAAAAAUGUUGACUCGAAAAAUUAUUUGAAAAAAAAAGAGGAAUUAGUUUUCAUUGUUUUUAUUGUUUUUUUUUCAAGAUUAUUUAUACGCCGAAUUUUCCAGAAAAUUAAAUCUCGAUUAUAUAUUU
rnacentral:misc_RNA from 1 species